rnacentral:rRNA from 1 species
UGGGGAAUUUUGGACAAUGGGCGAAAGCCUGAUCCAGCAAUGCCGCGUGUGUGAAGAAGGCCUUCGGGUUGUAAAGCACUUUUGUCCGGAAAGAAAUCCUUGGCUCUAAUACAGUCGGGGGAUGACGGUACCGGAAGAAUAAGCACCGGCUAACUACGUGCCAGCAGCCGCGGUAAUACGUAGGGUGCAAGCGUUAAUCGGAAUUACUGGGCGUAAAGCGUGCGCAGGCGGUUUGCUAAGACCGAUGUGAAAUCCCCGGGCUCAACCUGGGAACUGCAUUGGUGACUGGCAGGCUAGAGUAUGGCAGAGGGGGGUAGAAUUCCACGUGUAGCAGUGAAAUGCGUAGAGAUGUGGAGGAAUACCGAUGGCGAAGGCAGCCCCCUGGGCAAUACUGACGCUCAUGCACGAAAGCGUGGGGAGCAAACAGGAUUAGAUACCCUGGUAGUCCACGCCCUAAACGAUGUCAACUAGUUGUUGGGGAUUCAUUUCCUAGUAACGUAGCUAACGCGUGAAGUUGACCGCCUGGGGAGUACGGUCGCAAGAUUAAAACUUAAAGGAAUUGACGGGGUCAUAGCUGUUUCCU